rnacentral:rRNA from 1 species
CAGUCGCCACGGGAAUACGUAGGGUGCAAGCGCUAAUCGGAAUUACUGGGCGUAAAGCGUGCGCAGGCGGUUAUAUAAGUCAGAUGUGAAAUCCCCGGGCUCAACCUGGGAACUGCAUUUGAGACUGUAUGGCUAGAGUGUGUCAGAGGGGGGUAGAAUUCCACGUGUAGCAGUGAAAUGCGUAGAUAUGUGGAGGAAUACCGAUGGCGAAGGCAGCCCCCUGGGAUAACACUGACGCUCAUGCACGAAAGCGUGGGGAGCAAACAGGAUUAGAGACCCCAGUAGUCCCUGUCUCUUAUAC